GACGAACGCUGGCGGCGUGCUUAACACAUGCAAGUCGAACGGUAAGGCCCUUCGGGGUACACGAGUGGCGAACGGGUGAGUAACACGUGGGUGAUCUGCCCUGCACUUCGGGAUAAGCCUGGGAAACUGGGUCUAAUACCGGAUAGGACCACUGCCUGCAUGGGUGGUGGUGGAAAGCUUUUGCGGUGUGGGAUGGGCCCGCGGCCUAUCAGCUUGUUGGUGGGGUGAUGGCCUACCAAGGCGACGACGGGUAGCCGGCCUGAGAGGGUGACCGGCCACACUGGGACUGAGAUACGGCCCAGACUCCUACGGGAGGCAGCAGUGGGGAAUCUUGCGCAAUGGGCGAAAGCCUGACGCAGCGACGCCGCGUGGGUGAUGAAGGCCUUCGGGUUGUAAACCGCUUUUGGCAGGAACGAAACGGCGCGGGUUAAUACCUCGCGCUAAUGACGGUACCUGCAGAAUAAGCACCGGCUAAC
rnacentral:rRNA from 1 species